AAUCAGUCAUGGCUGCGGCGUAUGUUGUAUUUUUGACUUUGUUGUGAAAAUCCACUAUUUCUUAAAAUUUCAAUAUGAGUACUCUAUUAAAAUUUGUAUCGGAAUAUUGUAAGACGUGGGAAAAAUCAGGCCGAGAUUCUUUUGUUAAAUUACUUACGCAAUGUAUAAAAGAUGAAGGAAAAAGUCCUCUUUUCACGAAAUCUGGUAAACUUUCGGGCCUAUCACAAAGUAUAUAUGAUUUGUUGCUUUGUGCCUUAAAAGGUUAUCUCAAAAAAGAUGCAGUGAUAUCCGUUCUUCGUGAAGUAUCUAUGUUACAUGCUGAUAUGCCCUCAAUUCUGUUGGAUGUUGUAUGUGUAAUAGAUGCAGAAACAUCGCUCAAUGUACAGAGCGAAGAGAGAUCUGUUUUCUGCUAUUUAGUACGUGAAUUGGAAUCAUUUAUGUCUGACAAAUUGCUAAAAGAAAGAUUAGAAAUUGAAACCCUUCAAGAUGUUGGAACAUUGAAAAACAAAAUAUUUUAUACUAAGUUCAUCAAGAUUAAGACUAAACUAUACUAUAAGCAACGUAAAUUUAAUUUGUUCCGAGAGGAGAGUGAAGGAUAUGCAAAACUUAUUGUAGAAUUAAAUCAAGAGAUAUCUGAAGAUACUGACUGGAAAACUAUUUUGGAGAUCAUUCAAUCCUUAAUUGGUUGUUUUAAUUUGGAUCCUAACAGAGUUUUAGAUAUAAUACUAGAAUCCUUUGAAGCACGUCCACAUUUAGAUAACUUAUUUGUUACCCUGAUAAAGAACUAUAUGUGUGAUCCACAAGUAAUAUCAGAAGUAUUAGGGUUCAAACUGAGCAAUAUGGAAGUAUUAGACACUUAUAAAGAGCCCCCUAAUUUAAUAACUAUCAUAGCUUUACUAUUGCAACAUCAAGUUAUUGCUUUGGAUGAUAUUUAUCGGUGGCUUCGCCCUGAUGAUUUAAUAAUGGCCAAAGAAGCUGAUAAGGAAUUGAAGUUAGUUCAAGAAUAUAUUCGUAAAUUAAAUAUAGUUUCUACAAAAGGACCGCCUGCUAAUGGGGCCAAUGACUUUAUUGAAGAUAAAGCAGAUCCUCAGGAAUACUGGGCUAAUCAGAAAUUGGUUUUAAGUGAGGCUCUUCUCCGCGUUUGCGCAUGGCGGGAGUUUUCUGCUUUAUUCAGUCGCCUCCAAGUCUCAGCGAUGCCAGCUCGCCCAGCCAAAGCUCUUUGCGAAAUGCUACAUGCUGUUGUUGAACCAUUAUAUAGAUCACAAUGUCGUGUUGCACCAAAAAUAAUAGGCACCCCAAUACCACCACUAAAGUCAAAUUUAGCUCCAAAAGCUUGUAAGACCUUUGAAGACAUGAAAGAUGUGGUAAUUCCUGCUCUUAUUUUAUUAGGACCAGCACUUCACCAUGACCCUAUUUUGAUGUAUAAAAUAAUACGCAUAUUACGUACAUCACGUUCGGUUAAGGGAGACCCUCUACAACAUGAAGCAUUAACAGUUUUGGAUGCAGCAAUUCUGCCUGCACUCACAUUGAUGGAGGGAAACUGCUGUAUGGCUGAAGAAGUAUAUACUCUUCUUAAAUUGUACUCCUAUCAGUGCAGGUAUUGCUUAUAUGCCCGGUGGAAAAAUGAAUCUGGUGAAAAAAUACCAGCAUUGAUGCGAGUCCGCGGAAAUUCACUGCAGCGAAUUAAGCACAUCAUGAAGAGAGUUUCUAAGGAAAAUAUAAAGCCACAAGGACGUCUUAUUGGAAAGCUAUCUCAUGCUGCACCUGCUUUUCUCUUUGAUUAUAUGCUAUUACAAAUUCAAACAUACGACAAUCUGAUUGGUCCAGUGGUGGAAUCGCUCAAAUAUCUGACGUCUCUAUCACUAGACGUGCUUGGAUACUGUCUAGUGGAGGUGUUAUCAAGUAAAGGGUCGGCAAGUGGGGCGGCUCACCCGCCGUGGUUACAAGCCUUAGCAGCUUUCGCCGGAGCUGCGUAUAAAAAGCAUAAUAUUGAAUUGACCGGAUUAUUGCAAUUUGUUGCAGAUCGAUUAAAGGCUCAGCAAAGUCAAGAUCUUCUGAUUCUAAAAGAGAUAGUACAAAAAAUGGCCGGCAUUGAAGCAGCUGAAGAAAUGACCCCAGAGCAGCUAGAUGCUAUGGCGGGAGGUGAAUUGCUUAAAGGAGAGGCUGGAUAUUUCUCACAAGUACGAAACACACGACGUUCCUCAGCAAGGUUAAAAGAUGCAGUAGUAGGCAAUAAUCUGGAUAUAGCACUUUGUAUUUUAUCUGCACAACAACGACAUUGCUGUGUUUGGAAAGAUUCAGGUGAGGAGAACACUAAUGAAGUGGGUGGUUCUCAGUUGAAAGUUGUGGGUCGACUUGCAGACCAGUGUCAAGAUGCGUUAGUGCAACUGGGAACGUUCCUUGCGUCCUCGCACGCACCUGAUGAGUAUGCAGCGAGGUUGCCGCCCCUACCGGAGUUACUUCGUGACUACCACGUGGACGCCGACGUGGCAUUCUUUCUCCACCGCCCAGUGUUGGCUCAAAAAAUUGCUGCAAAAGUUGAAUCAUUGCGGAAGAGCUCUGAUAGUAAAUCAGAUUCUCAGGAGAAAAGUAUAGAACGGUACAAUGUCGCGUCUAAAGAAGCUUUGGAGCCUAUUGUUAUAUCGAUCACUCCACUGUUGCCGACCAGAGUUUGGGAAGACAUUUCUCCAGAAUUUUAUGUAACAUUUUGGUCAUUAUCAAUGUAUGACUUACGUGUACCAGUUGAAAGUUAUGCAAGAGAAAUAGACAGAUUAAAAACAGCUGCUGCAAGUGCAGCUAGAGAUACUUCACAGGGUACUAAAGGCAAGAAAGAACAAGAAAGAUUCAAUACUCUUAUUGAGAAACUACAGGAGGAGCGGCGGCGGCAAGAGGAGCACGUGUCGCGCGUGCACGGGCGGCUGUCGCGCGAGUGCAGCGGCUGGUUCCCGGCGCGCGCCGCCAAGUCGGCCAAGAACGAGACGGUGACGCGCCUCAUGCAGCUGUGCCUGUUCCCGCGCUGCGUCUUCACCGCCACCGACGCGCUCUACUGCGCGCAGUUCGUGCACACCGUGCACGCCUUGAAGACGCCCAACUUUUCUACGCUGCUGUGCUAUGAUCGGCUGUUCUGCGACAUAACGUACUCGGUGAUGUCGUGCACGGAGGGCGAGGCGGCGCGCUACGGCCGCUUCCUGUGCCGCGUGCUGGGCACGGCGAUGCGCUGGCACGCGGACCGCGCCGCCUUCCACGCGGAGUGCGCGCACUACCCGGGCUUCGUCACCAAGUACCGCGUGUCCAACCAGUUCACGGAGGCGAACGAUCACGUCGGCUACGAGAAUUAUAGGCACGUGUGUCACAAAUGGCACUACAAGAUCACGAAAGCGAUGGUGGUGUGCUUGGACUCCGGUGACUACGUGCAGAUCCGCAACGCGCUUAUAGUGCUCAUUAAGAUAUUGCCGCACUUCCCUGUUUUGGCGAAAUUAGCGCAAAUCAUCGAGAGAAAAAUUGAAAAGGUCAAGGAAGAGGAAAAGAACCAAAGACCAGACUUGUACGUUCUGGCAACAGGUUAUAGCGGCCAAUUGAGAAAUAAAGUUCCCAACAUGAUGAAGGAAAGCGAUUUUCACCAGGUGGUUGAUCAGCAUAAAGCAAGCGGGGUGGCUCAGGCGGCGACCGUUAAAGAGGAGACUAAUAGCAAACAACAGGAAACUGUUGCUUCGCCUGUACAAGCAACAGAAUCAGAGAAAAAGGAAUCCAAAAGCAGUGAUAGACGACGCGAUGAAUCAGAUCGCGAUAAAGAGACUAAACGCGAGUCUAGAUCGUCAUUGAAGGAACGGAACAAAGAAGAGUUAAGAAGUAAAGAUAAAUCCCCAAGAGAACGAUCACACAGAGAGGAACGCUAUUUAGAAGCAAUAUCACCACCUCAUGAUCACCGUCAUCCGUCCGAUGACGUAGAUCGUGAUGUGAAACGUCGUAAAGUAGAGAGCAGCAGCAAUGGCAAGGUGAGUAUCGUUGUAAUAAACCGACCUUGCAUCGCGCUCGCGCCGGACUGAGGAUUGGGCUCGACGACUCCUCGCUCGACUGCGACACUACUGUGCCGCCACGUUUCGGUUACAAGUGAUCUACGCCACGGACUGUAUAUAGUGCUAAGACUCAGUGACUCAGUGAUAGAGAAAAUAAUACACUAUAAAAUAAUUUAUGCCAAAUAAAGAAAAAAAUAUAUACCUAAGAAGAUUUUUCGCUUCAUCGCCGUUGAAGUAAGAACGUCGCAGAACUCUGGGAUAAAAGGAAAUGAUGAAGUGAUGCUGCUAAUAUGAAUUUUCGAUGAAUAAUUAAGAUACAGGACAUAGUAAUUCGUUAAAAACUUGGAAAAUAUAGAUCCAGAUACAGAGCGGAAAAAACUCUGAAUAUUAAAUAAAAAAAUGUUUACAAGAAGCCAUAUAAAAUACAAAUAAAAAUAAAAAAAGACUUUCAAAUUAAACUCGUAUAAAAUAUCAAAGGUGCAAAGAUAUGCGUAAGUCAGCCCAGCCCAGUCGAGCAGUGGGUAGUAAAGAGAUUGAGGAACGAUCGCCUGAAAAGGAGAAACGGAAAACUAAGCUCAGAGGUGAUGAGCGUAAAGAGCGUAAGAUGAGCCGUAAAAGG
rnacentral:misc_RNA from 1 species